rnacentral:lncRNA from 1 species
UUACUCUAAUUUAGCCAUGGGGGUGCUCGAAAUCAAAUUUUAAGUGGAUAGGAGAAUUUUUACCUUUUUUGGUGGUCGGAGUGGUUCUAGUGCGACGGUGGUUGGCGAUCCGCUCCCUUCUCCAAUGACUGGUUCUUCUUCUCUGACGGGAGGCUAGCGGCUAGGGUUUGGGUUCAGUGUGAUAUGAAAUAUUUAUAUCCAUCUUGCGUUAAUCUGAACCGUUCAUCGCGUUUGAUCUCGACCGUCCGAUCACAUUUAAAGAGAAAAUGAAUCUGUACUAUUCAUCGCGAUUUGAUCUUGACUGUUCGAUCGCAUUUAAAGGGAGAACAAAUCCGGAC